rnacentral:rRNA from 1 species
AUGAACGCUGGCGGCGUGCCUAAUCCAUGCCAGUCGAGCGAACAGAUGAGGAGCUUGCUCCUCUGACGUUAGCGGCGGACGGGUGAGUAACUCGUGGAUAACCUACCUAUAAGACUGGGAUAACUUCGGGAAACCGGAGCUAAUACCGGAUAAUAUAUUGAACCGCAUGGUUCAAUAGUGAAAGACGGUUUUGCUGUCACUUAUAGAUGGAUCCGCGCCGCAUUAGCUAGUUGGUAAGGUAACGGCUUACCAAGGCAACGAUGCGUAGCCGACCUGAGAGGGUGAUCGGCCACACUGGAACUGAGACACGGUCCAGACUCCUACGGGAGGCAGCAGUAGGGAAUCUUCCGCAAUGGGCGAAAGCCUGACGGAGCAACGCCGCGUGAGUGAUGAAGGUCUUCGGAUCGUAAAACUCUGUUAUUAGGGAAGAACAAAUGUGUAAGUAACUAUGCACGUCUUGACGGUACCUAAUCAGAAAGCCACGGCUAACUACGUG